rnacentral:rRNA from 1 species
GACGAACGCUGGCGGCGUGCUUAACACAUGCAAGUCGAACGGAAAGGCCCUGCUUUUGUGGGGUGCUCGAGUGGCGAACGGGUGAGUAACACGUGAGUAACCUGCCCUUGACUUUGGGAUAACUUCAGGAAACUGGGGCUAAUACCGGAUAGGAGCUCCUGCUGCAUGGUGGGGGUUGGAAAGUUUCGGCGGUUGGGGAUGGACUCGCGGCUUAUCAGCUUGUUGGUGGGGUAGUGGCUUACCAAGGCUUUGACGGGUAGCCGGCCUGAGAGGGUGACCGGCCACAUUGGGACUGAGAUACGGCCCAGACUCCUACGGGAGGCAGCAGUGGGGAAUAUUGCACAAUGGGCGGAAGCCUGAUGCAGCAACGCCGCGUGCGGGAUGACGGCCUUCGGGUUGUAAACCGCUUUCGCCUGUGACGAAGCGUGAGUGACGGUAAUGGGUAAAGAAGCACCGGCUAACUACGUGCCAGCAGCCGCGGUGAUACGUAGGGUGCGAGCGUUGUCCGGAUUUAUUGGGCGUAAAGGGCUCGUAGGUGGUUGAUCGCGUCGGAAGUGUAAUCUUGGGGCUUAACCCUGAGCGUGCCUUCGAUACGGGUUGACUUGAGGAAGGUAGGGGAGAAUGGAAUUCCUGGUGGAGCGGUGGAACGCGCAGAUAUCAGGAGGAACACCAGUGGCGAAGGCGGUUCUCUGGGCCUUUCCUGACGCUGAGGAGCGAAAGCGUGGGGAGCGAACAGGCUUAGAUACCCUGGUAGUCCACGCUGUAAACGGUGGGUACUAGGUGUGGGGUCCAUUCCACGGGUUCCGUGCCGUAGCUAACGCUUUAAGUACCCCGCCUGGGGAGUACGGCCGCAAGGCUAAAACUCAAAGGAAUUGACGGGGCCCCGCACAAGCGGCGGAGCAUGCGGAUUAAUUCGAUGCAACGCGUAGAACCUUACCUGGGUUUGACAUGGAUCGGGAGUGCUCAGAGAUGGGUGUGCCUCUUUUGGGGUCGGUUCACAGGUGGUGCAUGGCUGUCGUCAGCUCGUGUCGUGAGAUGUUGGGUUAAGUCCCGCAACGAGCGCAACCCUUGUUCACUGUUGCCAGCACGUUAUGGUGGGGACUCAGUGGAGACCGCCGGGGUCAACUCGGAGGAAGGUGGGGAUGACGUCAAGUCAUCAUGCCCCUUAUGUCCAGGGCUUCACGCAUGCUACAAUGGCUGGUACAGAGAGUGGCGAGCCUGUGAGGGUGAGCGAAUCUCGGAAAGCCGGUCUCAGUUCGGAUUGGGGUCUGCAACUCGACCUCAUGAAGUCGGAGUCGCUAGUAAUCGCAGAUCAGCAACGCUGCGGUGAAUACGUUCCCGGG